GCGUUCAGUUCACAUCAAGGAUGGGUAUGCACUGGCGGAAAAGCUUACCAUUGCCCAGAAGAUAUCACAGGCCAUUCAAUGUGAGCACCAAGAAGAAAGGGUAUAUCCAUCCUAUUUUUCUCUAAGACUACAGUCUUGGCCUCUGUCUCUGUCUGCCUCCAGAGAGAGAUUUAGCUUUUGAUCACCUCCAACAAACAACAUCCUUUAGGAUAUUGAAACUGACAAAAGACAGCCUACAAAAUCCUAUGGUUUACAUUAAAAGUCUGAAGGCAUUGCCAUGUUCCGGAUCUGGGGGUUAACAGUGCAUGACGAAGCACAUACCCUCAGUAAGAAUUUAAUUUAGCUCGAAUAUGAAGGGAUGCUUUAUGAGACAAACUGGCAGCAGUUCCAUGGGGUGAGCAGAGAAGUGAGACUAUAAAACAGAAGACAAUUUGCUAUUUCUAAAUUGCUCCCUCUCAAAAACUGUGGUGGGUGUCUUAAAAUCAUCUCGUAUAUCCUUUUACCCAGUAAUCUCAAUUCUAGGAAUGUAUUCUAACAAAAUAAUUGGGCAAGUCCACAAGGAGGUAUGUGGACUACUGUUUAUAUCAUGCCUUUGUUUAUAAUAGGAAAAAAAAACCAACAGAAAAACAAAGGUCCAUCAGUAGGAAAUAAAGUAUUGAUUAGGCAUAUAAUGAAAUUAUAUGCAACUUUUAGAAUGCUGAAAAAGUAUAGUACAUUAGACUUCAGACAUCAGCAUUUAGUUUAGUAUACUAUACUAUUAAGUAAAACAGUUUUAAAAUAGAUUUUAUAAAAUAUCUUUGUUUUAAAACAAAGUGUGUUGUAAGAAUAGAAAAGAACUAGAAUAUACAAUAAAAUGUUAAUUAUCGUGUUUUCUGGUUAGUAAAA
rnacentral:lncRNA from 1 species